rnacentral:lncRNA from 1 species
GAAAAUUUCAGUCGUCAAGCAUGCGAUGAUAAAGGCAUAGACCAGUGUUUUAAUGGUGGUGAAAAGAGAUCAAAAUAAAGGAAAUUGUUAAAAAUAAUUGACCACUAAAUGACUAACUCACGCUUUACUUUUGCUCUCCUUGUUUAGAAAGGUGGCUGAGGUUUUAGACUUUGAUGAAUGGGAGACUUGCAGUUUCAUUAAUAGAGUGAAAAUGGAAAACAGCUACUUCUCUAAACCGCAGUCUAUGAAGAAUAUCUGCCAAACAUUCUGAAAUUCAGAUGAAUUGAGGAAGGUUACUGAAAGCCAAAAUAAACGGAUAUCUUCACAUCUUGAACGAGAUAUAGAAUUCUCUAAAAGAAUUGAAGGAUUCCAGGAAGAAAUAUCGACUGUGCCAACAAAAUCUGUUUUACAAAUGUUUGAAACAAUCUCAAUGAAGAGGAUGAGUGGGAAAGUUACUGAUCCAAGUAUCUCUGAAAUUUAGAGUCUGUAAGACUAAAGGCAAAAUGAACUGCACAUAAUUAACGUACUCUAGCUGAUAAAGUUGUUUCCCAUUGGAUUAUGGGUUAACAAUUCUAUAUUGUUACAUGUGUAUCCUGAAAUGGGACAAUAAAGUAAAUGGAUG